UACGUAGGGUGCAAGCGUUGUCCGGAAUUAUUGGGCGUAAAGAGCUCGUAGGCGGUUUGUCGCGUCGGCUGUGAAAACUCGGGGCUCAACCCCGAGCCUGCAGUCGAUACGGGCAAACUAGAGUGCUGUAGGGGAGACUGGAAUUCCUGGUGUAGCGGUGAAAUGCGCAGAUAUCAGGAGGAACACCGGUGGCGAAGGCGGGUCUCUGGGCAGUUCCUGACACUGAGACACGAAGGCCAGGGGAGCAAACGGG
rnacentral:rRNA from 1 species